rnacentral:lncRNA from 1 species
CGACCCACUAAUGUUAGCUCCUGUCGCUAGCGUGCUAACAGCUAGCCGUCCUUCCUUUCCCAGCUUAACUGUGCGGACAUGCACCUUUUAAGUCUCCACCAUGCUCAGACUGCUCCGUUUACUAACCGGCGCGAAUCAAACGAUGUUGUCUCUGCUGGCGCAGCUGUUUUCGCCCCGUAAAGACAACCAACAACACCCAGCUAGAUCCUAUUUUGAUGGUUAAUCAUUGAACUUUGAACUCUACUUGCAACUGUAACGUCGUGCCCUGGUGCAUCAUGGGAGCGUGAGUUUACUUCGGCUGUUUUGCAGUGUUGCCAGAUUGGGCCGGGAAUCUGGCCCAAUUUGGCAACGUUAACCAUACUAAGUACAUACACAGUGUGGGUCUUAUUGUGAUAAAGAAAAGUGUUUUAUUUGCAAACAUUAUUAGUGAUGACUAUAAGCGUAACGGAGAUAACGCUUCCAAAAUGUGAACAUACAUUCCACUCACUCAAAUAGGGGAAGCUCAUUUUCGGCCUGCCGUCCGUAUGGGCAGGCGGGGCAGCGAACUCCCUGCGAAAGCAUGCUCCCAAAAAAAUAGUUCCUCAGUACAUCAUUGCUCCAAGUUUAUUUUUAAUAAUGUGAUUGUCACAUUAACUAUCUAUAGUUUCUGUAGGCUUUCCAACUAUUUUUGGUCUGUUGAAUUUUGGAUGAUGGUGGUGGCGAUUCUAGAAAAAAGGCGUUCGGACAUUCGGAUGGAAUUGUUAAGGAGAGAGAAGAAACGGUCAAACCGCUCCCUUGACUCCACUUCUGUGAUCUGCCUGCCGCUGGUAAAGGAUGUCCUCCCUCACCAGAAGCAGGAAGGGAUCCUCCCUCCCUCUUCUCCCUGCUCCCGCCACUGCUUCACCUGCUCCAACUGCCCCUGCUGCAACUGCCCCUGUUGCGCCCGCUGCUCCUGCCCCUGCUGCGCCCUCUGCAACUGCCCCUGUUGCGCCCGCUGCUCCUGCCCCUUCUGCGCCCGCUGCAACUGCCCCUGCUGCUGCGUUUGCUCCUGCUGUGGCUGUGGCUGUGCUGGCUCCUGCGCCUUACCCCACUCCUCUCACCUCCACCUCAUCCUCCUCCUCCACUCUGACCCUAACCUGGCCUGGUUGGGAGGGAGCCCACUACCACUGGCGGUGACGGUAACGGCUGCUGACCUGCCAAUUAGCUCAUCCAUCAAGCCAAACCAGCGCUAUGUCCCUGCUGUUGGACUGCCAUCCUCUGUGCCUUGACCUGAGGCAGGGCACUUACAAUCCUGACAAUAAAAAUAUAAUAAACAACUAGGCUACUAGCAAUCUAAUAUUUCCCUGUUGUACCUACCUUUGGCACAACAAGAAGGCAGUUGUCAAAAAAAUAUUGCUGUCAUCUUGCUCUUCACCUUAUAUUUACUUUUACGGUUAUCCCACUUUUUUUUGGCCUGCACUGGGGACAGCCGUCCUGUUAACUCCAUUUGUUCAAUCAAAGUGCUACACACACACACACACACACACACACACACACACACACACACACACACACACACACACACACACACACACACACACACACACACACACACACACACACACAUAUUAUUGUCUCACUCAUUGUUAAAUUAAAAAAGUACUAUUUCAUUCAUCCAAGCGUAAUGAUUUGUUAUUCUUUAAUAUAUUUGAUACUUUGUGUAUGGCUUAGUCUUAAAAGCAUCAUGGUUGUGUGUUCAGCUCCUGCCUCAUCAGAAGAAGUUGCCUGGAAACUAAAGGCUAAAUGGACUGUUGCUACUCUGCUUUCUCAAUCGCUCUCUGACCACGGGUAAGUCGUGAAUCAGAAUUACAAGCAAAAUCAAGGAAAUCCAAUGGUCAAGUUGCACAAAAAAUAACAUCUUGUAUCGUCUUUGAUUUCAGAACAGAUGUAGUAAGGUUAAAGUUAAGGUUAAGCCACUAAAGUCAGUAGCCUAGUGCUACCCAUGCUAACAUGAACGUGAAGCUUUCCCUCAGACUUAAAAACGUAUCUAAGUAGCUUUCAGUUGUCACCCUACCACUCCAAAUGUAAAACUGACAUUCACAAAUAUGCAACAAUAUUCAGAAAAGUACUUGGGAAUGUUUUUUAAUUUAUAUUUACCAUUCAAUAUUGCAAUCGCUGCUGUCAGUCCCAUAAAAGAUCAUGACAGCGCGGCGUGUUUUGGAACUAUACAGACUCACAUGAAUCAUGACCACCCUGCCGGCGAGAUCAGAGUGUCGCAACUCUUCUCUCUCUAUGGCUCUGAUUGAAACGUAUCCCAGAUAUGUUCAAUGUCAACAUAUAACACAUUGUCAUUAAGGCAUAUUUCCCUUUCGGGGAAAGUUUCAUUUAACGUAUUUUGUCUGAAAAACGUAUUUUGUCCAUGAUUACGUUUUAUUGAACAUAUCGCCAAUACGUUAGUUCUCAGCCUUUUUUAUCCAUUUAUUUACCUCUAGGAUUAUUUUUAGUUGAAACGUAUCCCAGAUAUGUUAAACGUCAACAUAUAAUGUUACGCCCCUGUAAGGGGGGUAUAGAAAGAACCACGAGGACGCAGUGUUGUAGUCAAAGUCCAAAGUUGUAAUGAUGUUCACAAUAUUCAACAAAGUGCAUUUCUUAUGCAAUUUCAAAUAUUAGAUAUACCUAUUUUUUUUUUCACAAUAUGCAAAACUAAACAACUUUCAAAAGAACAUGUAAAUAAGCAGCAUAUUAGCUCAAAGGAACAAAGUGUGCAAAGUGUGCUUUGUUUGAGUACUAAGUACUACAUUUUAAAGCUUUUCACCAUGAGACAUUUUUCCAUAGCUAUUAACAAAAAAAAAAAAGAUAAACCUCUCAAAAGUAUUUUUAAACUUUAACACAUUUUUCAAUAAAGUAUUGUUUCAGCUAAAACACACUGACAAUACUGUCUAACAACACUUAACCGAAUACUGUGCCAGCUUAUUCACACAUUGGCAUAUAUUUUACACGGUAAAUUAACACAGCGCCAACACGCAUUGUCAGGAAAUUGCGGAAACUUUCUAACCACGCACCUGCCCGUGUGAUGCUAAGAUGCACGCUACAGCAGAGCGACUCCUCCGUGUUCAAGCCAACUACUUUUUCAAACAAUCCAUGCAUGGCUAUAAUCUUCUCGGCAUGUUCCCUAGCAUUAAAACGUUAAUACAUAAACAAUUACACAACCACCUGUAAGGAUAUCCCGCAACACAGUAUUAUGUUCCUAAGAGGCCACCGUAGCUGGAGACUGUGACGUAACAAAAUGCUUAAUGAAGUUAGUUGAAUACUUACCCGCUAAGAUGUCAGUCGCAUAUCAUUACAUGGUACCAGGUGUAAAAGUAUUAAAUAGUUAAUGUCUGUGUGAGAAAGACGGAAUGGAUGUCAUAAAACCACCAGAACCAUUGAAGCUCACGGGAAAUAUUGAUUAUGCUUGGAAACAGUUUAAACAGGCGUUUCAACUUUAUUUGACUGCAACUGGCGUCAACGACAAGAGCGGUGAGAGGCAAGUAGCAUUGUUACUUACGAUAGCAGGGACACAAGCGAUUCAGAUAUUCAAUUCUGGAAGUUUGAUGCAUACUGUAGUCCGAAGAAGAAUGAAGUAUACGAGAGACAUGUUUUUCGUUGCCGCGUACAGCAGCAAGAUGAAUCGUUUGACUCGUAUGUGACUGAGCUAAGGCUGAAAGUAAAAUCCUGUAACUAUGGCGACAUGCAGUCCUCCAUGCUACGCGAUCAGAUAGUCUUUGGAAUACACAAUAAAAAGGUGCGGGAACACCUGCUAAGGGAGGACAGUCUGACGUUAGAAGAUGCAAUCAGAAUGUGCAGAGCUAGCGAACGGACUGAGAAGCAGAUGAAGAUUUUUGAGAAGCCAUAUGUUGCUACUGAAGCACCAGUGGGUGUAGACAGGGUGGUCAGAGCUCGCGCACCUCGCUCAGAGGGGGAACGUUCGAGUAAUGCACGUGAAGCAGGAUCAGACUACGUCAUGAACUGUAGGCGCUGCGGUGGGAACAUCGCUUCAGGCAAUGCCCCGCAUAUGGGAAAGUUUGCUUGAAGUGCAGGGGAAAAAAACAUUUUGCAAAAGUGUACCUAUCUGCUAGUGAAAAGAAACAAAUUAAUAUGAUGGAAGAGAGUGAAGGCUAUGAUGAGGAUGACAUAUUCUAUACUGACAUAGGGCUCGAUUAAUUCGAGUGUGUAGCUCACGUCGACUUUAGUUCCCGUAGUUCGGAAUGGGCUCAGCCCUCCCCCCGCACAGAGCGCGCAUUUACCAAAGUGAUACACAAACAUGGCAGCGAGUGUGACAAGUUGUAUACAACAAUUUAUUCAUAUAUGUAUAAUCUAUUUUGAGGUAAACAUAAUUCAUUUGAAAUAUAUCUGUGUGGUUUAAUAAUUCGUCGAUCUGUUGGUAAUUCGUCGAUCUGUUGGUAAUGCCUCGGGGCUCCAGUAGGGGGUUUGUGCUCCUCUUCCUCAUUCAAUACAGGGCCCCGUUUCCUGAUAUCGAUGGAUCUUCGCUCGUAAGAUGGUUCGAAAGGUGGAUCUUUCGAACCAUCGAUAAUUUCUUUGGAGCGUUUCCCGAAACUCCUCUUAACGUGAACGCGCAUUCGCUGCACUCACGACGAUCAUAGGAUUGUACCUGUCCACUGACUUCUGGUGCUGAAACGGGCUAUGACGCAGGGGGAGACGCAGGAAUGUCGGAGGAAAAUGGGGUUAAAAAGGGUUAAAAUAUCUCCCCAUCAAGGCCAACCGCAGAGUAGCCUACGAAAAGAAUAGAUUGCAAUAAUAUGAAUGCUAAAGAUAUUAAAACACAAUUGAUUAAGCCUAGGCCGACAUAUAUAUCAGUCUUAAUCCUGAGCGCACGAUCGGGAGGUGGAAGUUGCGCUUUAGAUGCCUUCACAAGUCCAGCGGAGGGCUCCAGUUUUCGCCGGCCAAGUCAUGCGCUGUGAUAUGUGUGACAGCUAUGUUGCACAAAAUUGCAGCUAAGGCUGGGGUAGCUUUGGUUGAACCGGAGAAAAUUGAGGACGAUGACGACGAGGAAGAUCGGUGUGAGGACGGCCUCCCUCAUAACUACGCGGAUGGUUUUCAUGCACGUCGAAGAGUGAUUGAGACUUUUUUUAACCCCCUCCACCCUCCCACAUGUCACUAAACAUUCCCGUCAACGUGACCAAUCCCCACCAUAUCCCAGCCUUUUGCCUGCUCCUUUGCAUUUUUUUAAAUAUUUUUAUAAUUAAUAUUUUUAUUAUUUUUUUUAUAAUUUUAUUUUUUAUUUUUUUUUACAUUAUUUUAUGCUACGUUUUAUGAGUAGCCUAUGUCAGUCUGCACAAAUCCCCCCCACUUUCUCACACAUUUUAAGUGCCCUGCCUGCUCAAACAUUUCCUGGACUGUCUCUCUCAAACUAAGAACAUAAUGGCCCACAUUAGGCUCAGAUGCACGUGAUACACCAUUACCAAUGUGUUAUAAUAAAACGCAUCCAAUGUCCGCUGGUUACGCCACUGAGGCUAUAGUAGGCUAACGAGGCUCUUAGCGUCCUACGAGUACCCUGGAGCACUCGUUAGCUACUCGUGACUCGUGAGCGUUUUCUUUCGGGAAACGGUGUGAAAACUGUACGAUGCUCGUACGACCCACUCUGCGAUCCACUUAGGCUAAAGAUGCUUUCGGGAAACGGGGCCCAGAUGAGUGAAGGAAAGAGCUGCGUGUGUGUUUUUCCUCAUUCUUCUCCCGUUACUAUUCCCUUUUUUAAGGUAAUUACCGUUUGCAAAACACUGUAUAUUUAUGACCAGUGUUGAAAGUUUGAAUGUUAUGUUGGCACUUUAUCAGAAGUCCUCUUAUCAUUAGUAAUAUUUGAUGUUUACAGAAAUAUUUUAUUUUAUAUUUCAUAUAUUUUACAUUUUAUGUUAUGUUACAGGUUACACUGUUUACAAUGGCAGCGCCUGCCAUAAUGCUUUUUUAUGCAUAUCGAUUUAAAUUGGAUAUCGGAUUUUUUGGAAAAAAUCUGGGAUUUUUAUUUUAGGCCAUAUCGCCCAGCCCUAUACUGACACUGUCACUGUGGAAAAUGAGGCCACUUCAACGUUGGAAGUUAGUGUGAACACAAUAAAUGCAGACAAGUGGAUUGUGCCACUUACAGUGAAUGGCACAGAGAUUCACAUGAAACUUGACACAGGAGCUAUGGCAAAUCUUAUCACAUUGAAAGACUUCAAAGCUCUGCACCACAAGCCGGUCAUAAAAAACACAAAAGUGGGAUUGAGAGCUUACAAUGGACAAAUGAUUGAAAC